rnacentral:rRNA from 1 species
CCUACGGGAGGCUGCAGUGGGGAAUAUUGGACAAUGGGGGGGACCCUGAUCCAGCCAUGCCGCGUGUGUGAAGAAGGCCCUCGGGUUGUAAAGCACUUUCAGUGAGGAAGAACGCCUGGUGGUUAAUACCCAUCAGGAAAGACAUCACUCACAGAAGAAGCACCGGCUAACUCCGUGCCAGCAGCCGCGGUAAUACGGAGGGUGCGAGCGUUAAUCGGAAUUACUGGGCGUAAAGCGCGCGUAGGUGGCUUGAUAAGCCGGUUGUGAAAGCCCCGGGCUCAACCUGGGAACGGCAUCCGGAACUGUCAAGCUAGAGUGCAGGAGAGGAAGGUAGAAUUCCCGGUGUAGCGGUGAAAUGCGUAGAGAUCGGGAGGAAUACCAGUGGCGAAGGCGGCCUUCUGGACUGACACUGACACUGAGGUGCGAAAGCGUGGGUAGCAAACAGGAUUAGAUACCCCAGUAGUC